rnacentral:rRNA from 1 species
CCGGGAGAUCAAGUCAGAGCAUUUCGGUCGGUCCAAACGUAUUUCAGAGGGGCUGACCGGACGGAUCCUCCAAAGCCAAGGCGUGGAGUAGAGUAGUACUCCAUUCUUGAUAUCUUCUUCUUCGUCUUCCUCCCGUCCGGCGGCGGCCCGGUCCUCCGUUGGCGCUGGGGGAUCCUUUCUUCCGCAUCAGGUUACUUACAGCGUCGGAGUAAGAGAGAGAGAGAUUGCUUCAUGAUUUGGACAACUGUCAUAUUAUGCUACUGAAAGAAACUUAACUUCAUUUCCUUUUGUGUGCAUCUGUAUCAUCAUCAUCAUGGCCGGAAGCUCGGAUUAUCAGCCUUUUAACCUGGCAGCAAGAGUCGUAGGAAAGAGGCGACGACUCAUACCUGCCAAGUUGAAGUCGGCGAUACCCGCCAUUGCUCUGCUUCUGUCGGCGGUGGCCAUUGUUGGUGCCAUAACCCAGUACCACCGGAGCAUCACCUACUUCCUGCGGCCGCUGUGGGACACGCCGCCCAAGCCCUUCACCGUCAUCCCGCACUACUACGCCCCCAACACCUCCAUGGCCGAGCUGUGCGCGCUCCACGGCUGGCGCGCCCGCGCCUCCCCUCGCCGCGUCUUCGACGCCGUCCUCUUCAACAACGAGCUGGACAUCCUGGAGAUCCGGUACCGCGAGCUGCUCCCCUACGUCCACAAGCUGGUCAUCCUGGAGGCCAACGCCACCUUCACCGGCAUCCCCAAGCCGCUCUCCUUCGCCGAGAACCUGGAGCGCUUCGCGUUCGCGAGGUCCAAGAUCGUCUACGACAGGCUCCCCAUCGCCACACCGGGGUCAUCGCCAGGUCGCCGCCGGGAAGAGCCGUUCGACCUGGAAGCCAGGCACCGGCGCGCGCUGAACGCGCUGCUGCGGCGGUCGGGCGUCGCGGGCGGGGACGUGGUGAUCAUGGCGGACGCGGACGAGAUCCCGAGCCCGGAGACGGUGCAGCUGCUGCGGUGGUGCGACGGGGUGCCGCCGGUGAUGCACCUGCAGCUGGAGAACUACGUCUACUCCUUCGAGUUCCCCGUGGACCGCGGCAGCUGGAGGGCGACGGCGCACCUCUUCAGCGAGCGGCGCACGGCGUACCAGCACUCCCGGCAGAGCGACCUGAUGCUAGCGGACGCCGGGUGGCACUGCAGCUUCUGCUUCAGGGAGAUCGCCGAGUUUGCGUUCAAGAUGAAGGCGUACAGCCACGCGGACCGGGUGAGGCGGCAGAGCUUCCUCGACCCGGAGAGGAUCCAGCGGGUCGUAUGUGCCGCCGACGACCUGUUCGACAUGCUCCCCGAGGAGUACACCUUCAGGGAUCUCUUCACGAAGAUGGGGCCAAUACCCAGGUCGGCGUCGGCCAUGCACCUGCCUUCCUAUUUGAUCAAGAACGCACACAGAUUCAGGUUCUUGCUUCCUGGUGGAUGCUUGAGAUCAGGUUAAAACAAUCACUGUUUUGUUUGUGAGUUUUUGUCACCCGGCAAACCUUACUCACUGAUAUGCUGUUGUUUCUAAAUGUGCAAAGUGUAUCUCGUUUGAUGUGAAACAGUAUUAAUCUAGACAUGAUAUACAGUUUACAUUUUUGUUUAGUUUUUUUUAGGGGAUACAUUUUUGUUUAGUUUGAGGAACUGAAUAGGUAUGUCCCAAAUGGGUAAGGUUGCAGUCUAUUCUAUCAAUGAUAAAUGGGGCAACUAUUUGUAAGUCGCCUAAUUUUUUUUUGCCAUAAGUCAAUUUUUUGGCCAUUGAAAAAAGAAUCAUUUUUUCGGCGUCGG